UACGGAGGGGGCUAGCGUUGUUCGGAAUUACUGGGCGUAAAGCGCACGUAGGCGGGAUGGCAAGUCGGUCGUGAAAUCCCUCGGCUCAACCGAGGAACGUCGAUCGAUACUGCUGUUCUUGAGGAUUGCAGAGGAGACUGGAAUUCCCGGUGUAGCGGUAGAAAUGUGUAGAGAUCGGGAGGAACGACCGGUGGCGAAGGCGGGUCUCUGGGCAAUUCC
rnacentral:rRNA from 1 species